UACGUAGGGCGCAAGCGUUAUCCGGAAUUAUUGGGCGUAAAGAGCUCGUAGGCGGUUUGUCGCGUCUGCUGUGAAAGCCCCCCGGCUCAACUGGGGAGGGUCACUCGAUACUGAUCGACUCGAAGGCAGGAGAGGGUAGUGGAAUUCCCGGUGUAGUGGUGAAAUGCGUAGAUAUCGGGAGGAACACCAGUGGCGAAGGCGACUACCUGGCCUGUUCUUGACGCUGAGGCGCGAAAGCUAGGGGAGCAAACGGG
rnacentral:rRNA from 1 species